ACCCAGCAGUUAUCCACCCACUCCAGUGGACUCCCCGUCCGGCUUCCCGGGUUCUGCCUGUACGAUCUCACCAAACUGCACUACAGCACCCGAAGAGCUGACCGAACGAGACCGGAUAGAUCACCAGUGCACAUUUACAUUGUUCAAAUAAAUUCCUUUUUACCUUU